rnacentral:rRNA from 1 species
AGGGCCAGAGUCGGUAUGCGCAGACCCGAAACCGGGUGACCUAUCCAUGUCCAGGUUGAAGCUGCCGUAAAAGGCAAUGGAGGACCGAACCCACAUCCGUUGAAAAGGGUGGGGAUGAGGUGUGGAUAGGGGAGAAAUUCCAAUCGAACCCGGAGAUAGCUGGUUCUCCUCGAAAUAGCUUUAGGGCUAGCCUCGGCAGAGAUACGUGGAGGUAGAGCACUGAAUUUCCUAGGGGGCGUCAAAGCCUACCGAAGAAUAUCAAACUCCGAAUGCCAUGAUAUUGCUUGCCGGGAGUCAGACUAUACGAGAUAAGUUGGAUAGUCAAAAGGGAAAGAGCCCAGACCUCCAGCUAAGGUCCCAAAGUGCGUGUUAAGUGGAAAAGGAUGUGGGAUCUCUAAGACAACCAGGAUGUUGGCUCAGAAGCAGCCAUGCAUUCAAAGAGUGCGUAAUAGCUCACUGGUCGAGAGGUCCUGCGCCGAAAAUGUCCGGGGCUGAAACACGACACCGAAGCUGAGGAAUCGAAAGAUUGGUAGAGGAGCAUUGCAUAAGGGAAGAAGCAGUACCGGAAGGAGCUGUGGACUUUAUGGAAGAGAGAAUGCCGGAAUGAGUAGCGAGAAUGAGGUGGGAAUCCUCAUGGCCGAAUAUCCAAGGUUUCCAGGGUAAAGCUGAUCUGCCCUGGGUAAGUCGGGGCCUAAGGCGAGGUCGGAAGACGUAGUCGAUGGACAACAGGUUGAGAUUCCUGUACUGCAGCAUGACAGAACUGUGGGGACACGUGUGGAGAGCAUAGCCGCGGAAUGGAAAGCCGCGGGCAAGCGAGGUAGGAGAUAUGCAGGAAAAACCGCAUAUCAAUCCGAAGGCGUGAUGCGGAGCGAACUGAAGUAGCGAAGUAUGUGAGCCAUGCGUCGAGAAAAGCCGCUAUUGUUCAUACUGUACCCGUACCGUAAACCGACACAGGUGGAUGAGGAGAGAAUCCUAAGGCCGGCGGAAGAAGCAUUGUCAAGGAACUCGGCAAAAUGACCCCGUAACUUCGGGAGAAGGGGUGCCUGCGAGAGCAGGCCGCAGAGAAUAGGCUCAAGCAACUGUUUAGCAAAAACACAGGUCUAUGCAAAACCGAAAGGUGAGGUAUAUGGGCUGACGCCUGCCCGGUGCUGGAAGGUUAAGAGGAGAGGUUAGAGAGAUCGAAGCUUUGAAUUUAAGCCCCAGUAAACGGCGGCCGUAACUAUAACGGUCCUAAGGUAGCGAAAUUCCUUGUCGGGUAAGUUCCGACCCGCACGAAAGGCGUAAUGAUUUGAGCGCUG